GCGGCAGGCCUAAAACAUGCAAGUCGAACGGUAACAGCGGAAGCUUGCUUCCGGCUGACGAGUGGCGGACGGGUGAGUAACACGUAGGAAUCUACCUAGUAGUGGGGGACAACCCGGGGAAACCCGGGCUAAUACCGCAUACGCUCUACGGAGGAAAGCGGGGGAUCUUCGGACCUCGCGCUAUUGGAGGAGCCUGCGUCGGAUUAGCUAGUUGGUGGGGUAAAGGCCUACCAAGGCGACGAUCCGUAGCUGGUCUGAGAGGACGAUCAGCCACACUGGAACAGAGACACGGUCCAGGCUCCUACGGGAGGCAGCAGUUAGGAACCUUGGGCAAUGGGCGCAAGCCUGACCCAGCCAUGCCGCGUGUGUGAAGAAGGCCUUCGGGUUGUAAAGCACUUUCAGCGGUGAAGAAAAGCUCAAGGCCAAUACCUUUGAGUCUUGACGUUAACCGCAGAAGAAGCACCGGCUAACUCCGUGCCAGCAGCCGCGGUAAUACGGAGGGUGCGAACGUUAAUCGGAAUCACUGGGCGUAAAGCGCGCGUAGGCGGUUUGUUAAGUGGGAUGUGAAAGCCCCGGGCUUAACCUGGGAAUUGCAUUUCAAACUGGCGAACUAGAGUGCGGUAGAGGGAGGUAGAAUUUCCUGUGUAGCGGUGAAAUGCGUAGAUAUAGGAAGGAAUACCAGUGGCGAAGGCGGCCUCCUGGAUCGACACUGACGCUAAGGCGCGAAAGCGUGGGGAGCAAACAGGAUUAGAUACCCUGGUAGUCCACGCCGUAAACGAUGAGAACUAGCCGUUGGACCCCAUGAGGGUUUAGUGGCGUAGCUAACGCGAUAAGUUCUCCGCCUGGGGAGUACGGCCGCAAGGCUAAAA
rnacentral:rRNA from 1 species